rnacentral:rRNA from 1 species
UCUCCGUAGGUGAACCUGCGGAGGGAUCAUUACACAAUAACCAGGCGGGCUGGACACCCCCCGCUGGGCACUGCUUCACGGCGUGCGCGGCGGGGCCGGCCCUGCUGAAUUAUUCACCCGUGUCUUUUGCGUACUUCUUGUUUCCUGGGUGGGCUCGCCCGCCCUCAGGACCAACCACAAACCUUUUGCAAUAGCAAUCAGCGUCAGUAACAACGUAAUUAAUUACAACUUUCAACAACGGAUCUCUUGGUUCUGGCAUCGAUGAAGAACGCAGCGAAAUGCGAUACGUAGUGUGAAUUGCAGAAUUCAGUGAAUCAUCGAAUCUUUGAACGCACAUUGCGCCCUUUGGUAUUCCAAAGGGCAUGCCUGUUCGAGCGUCAUUUGUACCCUCAAGCUUUGCUUGGUGUUGGGCGUCUUUUGUCUCCAGUUCGCUGGAGACUCGCCUUAAAGUCAUUGGCAGCCGGCCUACUGGUUUCGGAGCGCAGCACAAGUCGCGCUCUUUGCCAGCCAAGGUCAGCGUCCAGCAAGCCUUUUUUUCAACCUUUGACCUCGGAUCAGGUAGGGAUACCCGCUGAACUUA